rnacentral:rRNA from 1 species
UACAGAGGUCUCAAGCGUUGUUCGGAUUCAUUGGGCGUAAAGGGUGCGUAGGUGGCGCUGUAAGUCAGGUGUGAAAUUUCGGAGCUUAACUCCGAAACUGCAUUUGAUACUGCGGUGCUUGAGGACUGGAGAGGAGACUGGAAUUUACGGUGUAGCAGUGAAAUGCGUAGAGAUCGUAAGGAAGACCAGUGGCGAAGGCGGGUCUCUGGACAGUUCCUGACACUGAGACACGAAGGCCAGGGGAGCAAACGGG